rnacentral:rRNA from 1 species
GACGAACGCUGGCGGCGUGCUUAACACAUGCAAGUCGAACGGAAAGACCCUGCUUUUGUGGGGUGCUCGAGUGGCGAACGGGCGAGUAACACGUGAGUAACCUGCCCUUGACUUUGGGAUAACUUCAGGAAACUGGGGCUAAUACCGGAUAGGAGCUCCUGCUGCAUGGUGGGGGUUGGAAAGUUUCGGCGGUUGGGGAUGGACUCGCGGCUUAUCAGCUUGUUGGUGGGGUAGUGGCUUACCAAGGCUUUGACGGGUAGCCGGCCUGAGAGGGUGACCGGCCACAUUGGGACUGAGAUACGGCCCAGACUCCUACGGGAGGCAGCAGUGGGGAAUAUUGCACAAUGGGCGGAAGCCUGAUGCAGCAACGCCGCGUGCGGGAUGACGGCCUUCGGGUUGUAAACCGCUUUCGCCUGUGACGAAGCGUGAGUGACGGUAAUGGGUAAAGAAGCACCGGCUAACUACGUG